GUGAACGCUGGCGGCGUGCCUAAGACAUGCCAGUCGAGCGGGGCAGGUUUAUACCUGUUCAGCGGCGGACGGGUGAGUAACGCGUGGGUGACCUACCCGGAAGAGGCGGACAACCUGGGGAAACCCAGGCUAAUCCGCCAUGUGGUCCUGUCCUGUGGGGCAGGACUAAAGGGUGGAUAGCCCGCUUCCGGAUGGGCCCGCGUCCCAUCAGCUAGUUGGUGGGGUAAAGGCCCACCAAGGCGACGACGGGUAGCCGGUCUGAGAGGAUGGCCGGCCACAGGGGCACUGAGACACGGGCCCCACUCCGACGGGAGGCAGCAGUUAGGAAUCUUCCGCAAUGGACGGAAGUCUGACGGAGCGACGCCGCUUGGAGGAGGAAGCCCUUCGGGGUGUAAACUCCUGAACUGGGGACGAAAGCCCUGUGUAGGGGGAUGACGGUACCCAGGUAAUAGCGCCGGCCAACUCCGUG
rnacentral:rRNA from 1 species